rnacentral:misc_RNA from 1 species
UAUUUUAUAUGCCCAAUUUUCCAGGAAGUGAUGCAAGAUCCACAUAUAGCAGCUGAUGGUUAUACUUACGAAGCAGAGGCUAUAAGAGGAUGGCUGGACAGUGGACAUGACACUUCGCCCAUGACCCACCAUAAGCUUGCACACUACAAUCUCGUGCCCAACAAAGCACUUCGAUCGGCAAUCCAGGAAUGGCUGCAGCACUAGUCAAUUGGUGAUAAUUUCUCUUUUAGUUUGGCACAUCGUUUAUAUGUAUAUCUCUAUAUAUGACCAAAAGAAACGUCCUUACUUUUUGUUCUCCUUGUUAUAUAUUGUGGGACCCUAGGCGAUGGUACAGUCCUUUUCCCAGCCUUUUUCUUUCCUAUUAUUAGGCGUGAUUAUAGAAUGAUUAUAAGAGAUUUGUUUAGCAUAAUCAUA